GACGAACGCUGGCGGCGUGCUUAACACAUGCAAGUCGAACGGAAAGGCCCUGCUUUUGUGGGGUGCUCGAGUGGCGAACGGGUGAGUAACACGUGAGUAACCUGCCCUUGACUUUGGGAUAACUUCAGGAAACUGGGGCUAAUACCGGAUAGGAGCUCCUGCUGCAUGGUGGGGGUUGGAAAGUUUCGGCGGUUGGGGAUGGACUCGCGGCUUAUCCGCUUGUUGGUGGGGUAGUGGCUUACCAAGGCUUUGACGGGUAGCCGGCCUGAGAGGGUGACCGGCCACAUUGGGACUGAGGUACGGCCCAGACUCCUACGGGAGGCAGCAGUGGGGAAUAUUGCACAAUGGGCGGAAGCCUGAUGCAGCAACGCCGCGUGCGGGAUGACGGCCUUCGGGUUGUAAACCGCUUUCGCCUGUGACGAAGCGUGAGUGACGGUAAUGGGUAAAGAAGCACCGGCUAACUACGUG
rnacentral:rRNA from 1 species